rnacentral:rRNA from 1 species
GGGGUGAUCCUGCCCCCUGCACGUCUGGGGAUUAAAGGCUUUGGGGAAAACUGGGGUCCUAAUACCGGAUAUGACCACAGCAUGCAUGUGUUGUGGUGGAAAGAUUUAUCGGUGGCAGGGAUGGGGCCCGCGGCCUAUCAGCUUGUUUGUUGGGGUAAUGGCCUACCAAGGCGACGACGGGUAGCCGACCUGAGAGGGUGACCGGCCACGACUGGGACUGAGACACGGCCCAGACUCCUACGGGAGGCAGCAGUGGGGAAUAUUGCACAAUGGGCGGAAGCCUGAUGCAGCGACGCCGCGUGAGGGACGAAGGCCUUCGGGUUGUAAACCUCUUUCAGCAGGGACGAAGCGUGAGUGACGGUACCUGCGGAAGAAGCACCGGCUAACUACGUGC